UACGUAUAAGACUAGUGUUAUUCAUCUUUAAUAGGUUUAAAGGGUACCUAGACGGUAUAAUCAGUCUUUAAUAGGAUACGUUUAUGCUAGAGUUAAAUAGGAGGAGGGGAGUAAUUAAGAUGUAGAGUUGAAAUUUGUUGAUAUCUUAGGGACUGGCAACGGCGAAAGCAACCUUUUAUCUAAUAACUGACGUUGAGGGACGAAGGCAUUGAGUCACGAACAGG
rnacentral:rRNA from 1 species